rnacentral:rRNA from 1 species
CUGAUCUAGCCAUGCCGCGUGAGUGAUGAAGGCCUUAGGGUYGUAAAGCUCUUUCGCCUGUGAAGAUAAUGACUGURNCHGGUAAAGAAACCCCGGCUAACUCCGUGCCAWCAGCCGCGGUAAUACGGAGGGGGUUAGCGUUGUUCGGAAUUACUGGGCGUAAAGCGCRCGUAGGCGGACAUUUAAGUCAGAGGUGAAAUCCCAGGGCUCAACCCUGGAACUGCCUUUKAUACUGRGWGUCUUGAGUUCGAGAGAGGUGAGUGGAAUUCCGAGUGUAUAGGUGAAAUUCGUAGAUAUUCGGAGGAACACCAGUGGCGAAGGCGGCUCACUGGCUCGAUACUGACGCUGAGGUGCGAAAGUGUGGGGAGCAAACAGGAUUAGAUACCCUGGUAGUCCACACCGUAAACYAUGAAUGCCAKNCGUCGGGCAGKAUACUGUUCGGUGACACACCUAACGGAUUAAGCAUUCCGCCUGGGGAGUACGGUCGCAMGAUUA